UCGUAGCUGUGAGAAGGCAAAAAGAACAAAAAUUGUGUGAAGAAAGCAAGAAUAGUGGUUCACAACAGAAAAAUGCUUUUUGAACACGGUGAAAAAACAACAAAAAUGCAAUAAAAUUAUAAAGGAAAAUGUUAACGCACCGCCCCUUAUCCUUGGAGUGAUGAUACCAGGUGACGACGAUUUUCUUCUUCAACACGCUGGAAUCGCAAAUAUCACUGGUUUCGUUGGCAACAUCCUGCAACGGGCGGAAGAGAAAUAUAGUUUAUAUAUAUGUAAAUAA